AGCAGCCGCGGUAAUUCCAGCUCCAAUAGCGUAUAUUAAAGUUGUUGCAGUUAAAAAGCUCGUAGUUGAAUUUCGGGAUUAGUACGCUGGUCAUGCCUUUGGUAUGUACUGGUGUUACUGGUUCCUACCUUCUGAAGAACCGUUAUGUCAUUAAUUUGGUGUGGCGGGGAAUCAGGACUGUUACUUUGAAAAAAUUAGAGUGUUUAAAGCAGGCUCGCGCUUGAAUACAUUAGCAUGGAAUAAUGAAAUAGGACGUUGAUCCUAUUUUGUUGGUUUCUAGGAUUGACGUAAUGAUUAAUAGGGAUAGUUGGGGGCAUUAGUAUUCAAUUGUCAGAGGUGAAAUUCUUGGAUUUAUUGAAGACUAACUACUGCGAAAGCAUUUGCCAAGGAUGUUUUCAUUAAUCAAGAACGAAAGUUAGGGGAUCGAAGACGAUCAGAUACCGUCGUAGUCUUAACCAUAAACUAUGCCGACUAGGGAUCGGAUGAUGUUAAUUUUUUAAUGACUCAUUCGGCGCCUUACG
rnacentral:rRNA from 1 species